ACUCAAAUGAAUUGACGGGAGCCCGCACAAGCGGUGGAGCAUGUGGUUUAAUUCGACGAUAAACGAGAAACCUUACCAGGUCUAGACAUAGUGCUGCACGCCUUUGGAAACAGAGGAAGCCUUCGAGGGUGCACUACAGGUGCUGCAUGGCUGUCGUCAGCUCGUGGCGUGAGCUGUUGGGUUAAGUCCUCUAACGAGCGCAACCCCUGUCGAGUGUUAAAAUAUUCGCUCGAGACUGCCGGCGAUAAGCCGGAGGAAGGAAGGGAUGACGUCAAGUCAGCAUGGUCCUCUGACGACCUGGGCCACACACGUGCUACAAUGGGGUGUAACAAUGGGUCGCCAAAUCGCAAGAUGGAGCCAAUCCCACCAAACCACCCCCAAGUUCGGAUUGAAGGCUGCAACUCGCCUUCAUGAAGCUGGAAUCGCUAGUAAAUGCGCAUCAGCUAUGGCGCAUUGAAUACGUUCUCGGGCUUUGUACACACCGCCCGU
rnacentral:rRNA from 1 species